AAAGCAUGGUGAGGGAUUUUCCUAAGCAUUUUCUUAAAACUCUCUCAACUCUCAUAAAUUAAUUCUCCUUCAAACUGGGUAAAAUAAGUGAUAUCAUUUCUAGGUUU